CUCUCCUACGGGAGGCAGCAGUGAGGAAUAUUGGUCAAUGGUCGGGAGACUGAACCAGCCAAGCCGCGUGAGGGAGGAAGGUACAGAGUAUCGUAAACCUCUUUUGUCAGGGAACAAAGGCGGGGACGUGUCCCCGGAUGAGUGUACCUGAAGAAAAAGCAUCGGCUAACUCCGUGCCAGCAGCCGCGGUAAUACGGAGGAUGCGAGCGUUAUCCGGAUUUAUUGGGUUUAAAGGGUGCGUAGGCGGGCUGUUAAGUCAGCGGUAAAAGCCCGGGGCUCAACCCCGGCGAGCCGUUGAAACUGGC
rnacentral:rRNA from 1 species